rnacentral:lncRNA from 1 species
GGUGAAAAAUUGGAAGAAGAGGUUUGGCAAUUGUUAAUGCUGUAAAGUUACCCAUGUAUAAAUCCUGUAAAUAAAAGGCUAUUAAAUAAAAAAAAAUAAAUAAAUAAAAAACAUAAAUUAAAAUAAAUAAAUAAAUCAAUAAAUGUUUGGUAGAAUUCACAUGUAAAUCCAUCUGGUCCUGGAGAUUUUUUCUUAGGAAGUUUUUUAAUUGCCUGUUUUAUUUCUUUUUCUGGAAUGGGACUAUUCAAGCAAUUUACUUCCUCCUCUGUUAGUUUGGGAAGUCUAUAUUUUUGGAGGUAGUCAUCCAUUUCACUUAGGUUAUCAAAUUUAUUGGCAUAAAGUUGAGCAAAAUAAAUCCUUAUUAUUUCUCUAAUUUCCUCUUCAUUGGUGGAACGUUCUCCCUUUUCAUUUUUAAGACUACUAAUUUCAUUUUCCUCCCUCCUUUUUCUAAUCAGAUUUACCAAAGGCUUAUCUAUUUUAUUGGCUUUUUCAUAGAACCAACUCUUAGAUUUAUUAAAUAUUUCAAUAGUUUUUUUACUUUCAAUAUUUUUAAUUUCUCCUUUUAAUUUUAGAAUUUCAAAUUUAGUAUUUGAUUGGGGGUUUUUAAUUUGGUCUUUUUUUAGUUUUUUUAGUUGCAAGCCCAAUUCAUUAAUCUUUUCUUUCUCUGUUUUAUUCAAGUAAGCCUCUAAGGAUAUAAAUUUUCCUCUUAUUACUGCUUUGGCUGCAUCCCACAAAUUUUGGUAUGACAUCUCAUCAUUGUAAUUAUCUUGAGUGAAAUUAUUAAUUGUAUCUAUAUUUUGCUGCUUCACCCAAUCAUUCUUUAAGAUGAGAUUGUUUAGUUUCCAAUUACUUUUUGGUCUAUUUACCCCUAACUUUUUGUUGAAAGUAGUUUUUAUUGCAUCAUGAUCUGAAAAUAAAGCAUUUACUAUUUCUGCUUUCUUGCAUUUGAUUUUGAGGUCUUUAUGUCCUAAUAUAUGGUCAAUUUUUGAAUAGGUUCCAUGAACUGCUGAGAAGAUCGUAUAUUCCUUUCUAUCUCCAUUCAAUUUUCUCCAAAGAUCUAACAUACCUAAUUUUUCUAAUAUUCUAUUUACUUCUUUAAUUUCUUUCUUAUUUGUUUUGUGGUUUGAUUUGUCUAAUUCUGAGAGUGCAAGGCUGAGAUCUCCCACUAUUACAGUUUUGUUGUCUAUUUCUUCUUGCAACUCUCUUAACUUCUCCUUUAGGAAGUUGGAUGCCAUACCACUCGGUGCAUAUAUGUUUAAUAUUGAUAUUGGGAAGCCAAGAAUUCCAAGAGAUGUAGAUUGGGGGGGGGUGAGUAUUACAGUCAUAAAGGACAGAUACAGUAGUUUGACACAGUCAUUGCAAUGCUCCUGACCUGAAAGAUGGAGAAUCCUGUGCCAGGAACUUGGGGAUGUGGUUCAAUAUGUUUUUAGCAAAGAGUGGAUGUAAAGGAAUUGAGUGCAAAAAAGACUAGAAGUUUUGAAAGAGACCUGUCUUUGAAGGAAUUUAGAUCCUGGAGUGCUUUAUAUUAGAAUCAGGAGAUAAAAGGGAAUCACUAAAGUUUAUUAGAGAAGAGAGCAGUUGUUAUGCUUAGACUUAAGUCAUUGGCUACAAUGAAUGUGACUAAAUGCUUUUAUGCAAUGGUCAUCCACAUGAGUAGAUUACUUCUACCAUAGUAGAAGUAAUAAGUACUCAGAUACUUAUUAUUUAAUGUUAACAACCUGGUCAAAAUAAAGUAAAACUUUAAAACCUACUUGCCAUUUUAUAGCAAAAUUUCAGAUUACAUUUCUAUAAAUUAAGAUUUUCACUAUUUUAAUAAUAUGCAAAUAGACUAGGAUAGAAAUUUAACAAAAAAUAACCAAAAAUAGCUGCCCAAAUUUCAGAAAGUCCUGGAAAGACUUAAAUAAAUUGAUGCUGAAUGAAAUGAACAGAUAUUAUAUACAUAACCGAAAAAUUAUAUGAUGAUAUGCUAUGAAAGACUUAGCUCUUCUCAUCAAGAAUGAUCCUAGACAAUUCCAAUACACUUUUUCUGGAAAAUGCCUUCUGCAUUCAGAAAAAAAGAACUAUGGAGAUUGAAUAUGGAUUGAAGUAUAUUAGUUUUACUUUUGUUGUUUUUUUUCUCAUGAUUUUUCACUUUUGAUUUUUCUUUCUCAACAUUAUUAAUAUGGAAAUAUGUUUCAAAUGAUUGUACAUGUAUAGCCUAUAACAGAUUGCUUGCUCUCUUCAGGAGCAGUUACAUAAGGAAGGGAAGGAGUAAUGAAAAUUAAACAAAAUCUUACAAAAGUAAAUAUCUAGUGUUAGUGGAAUUGUGAAUACAUCCAGUCAUUCUGGACAGCGAUUUGAAACUAUGCCUCCAAAGUUAUCAAAUUUUGAUCCAACAGUACUACUACUGGGCAUAAGUCCAGUAUCCCAAAGAGAUCUUAAAGAAAGGAAAGGGACCUGUAUGUGCAAAAAUGUUUGUGGCAGCCCUCUUUGUAGUGGCCAGAAGCUAGAAACUCAAUGGAUACCCAUCAAUUGGCGAAUGGCUGAAUACAUUGUGGUAUAUGAAUUUUAUGGAAUAUUAUUUUUCUGUAAAAAAAUAACCAACAGGAUGAUUUCAGAAAGGCCUUGAGAGACUUGCGUGUACUGAUGCUGAGUUAAAUGAGCAGGACAAAGAGAUCAUUAUAUAUUCAACAACAAUACUAUAUAAUGAUCAAUUCUGAUGGACGUGGCCUUCUUCAACAAUGGCAUGAACCAAAUCAGUUCCAAUAGAGCAGUAAUGAAUUGAACCAGCUACACCCAGUGAAAGAACUCUGGGAAAUGAGUAUGAACUACGACAUAGAAUUCCCAACCCCUCUAUUUUUGUCCGCUUGCAUUUGAUUUCCUUCACAGAUUAAUUGUAUACUAUUUCAAAGUCCUAUUUUAUACAACAAAAUAACUGUAUGGACAUGUAUACAUAUAUUGUAUUUAACAUAUACUUUAACAUAUAUAACAUGUAUAGGUCAACCUGCCAUCUGGAGGAGGGAGUGGGGGAAGGAAGGGAAAAAUUGUAACAACAGGUCUUGCAAUUGUCAAUACUGAAAAAUUACCCAUGCAUAUAUCUUGUAAAUAAAAAGCUAUACUAAAAAAGUGAAUAUUGAAAGUUAUCUUUACAUGUGAUUAGAAAAAAUAUAAUAUUAAGUGAAAAACAUUAAAAUAAUUGUCCAUUAUGUGAUACUUUUAAAUAUGAUUUGAUUCAAUUUUAUCAAUAUAGUCAGCUAUCUUUGACAAAUUACUUUAAGCAAGAGAGAGAGAUUUUUGCUGACUAGGCAUUUUCCCCUAUUAUUCUGAACUAUGUACAUCUUCAUCUUGAUCUUAGCUAAUAAAACCCCAAAUCAGAAAUAAUUAUAAGAAAUUAAUAUUGAUUGUUUUUAUGUUCUCAGAAUAUAAAUCCAACCAUUUCAUUAGUACUGCUGUCUCAUUACCUUUCCAAUAUUUCAAUACUUCAAUGAAUUUGUAAAAUCUUUAAUGUUGGGUGUAUUCUUCAAAAAUUCAGAGUGCAAUCUAUCCAUUCUUGUUUAUCUUAUAUAACUCUUACCCAUGUUCUCCCCAAAAUAAUCUAUAAUGUCUUCCCCCCAGAAUUCCAGGGGUUUUCCUUAAUUGUUUAUACUUUGCAGAUCCUAAUGGACCAUUCAGACUUUCCAUUGAUUAUCCCUUCUUUUGACUACACAACUGGAUCAUAUACUGGUCAUAUACCUCUUUAGUGAUAUUCUUUAUACUACUUCUGCACAUUUAUUUUUAAAACAAUAUCUUUAAAUGACAUCUUUUAGCUUAACUCAUACCCACCAUACAAUUUUUAGAUCAGUUGUGCUUAUUACUAUCUCCAUGAUUUUCUCCAGGAUUAUCUUCUUUCUUUAGAAUGUCUUUUCUCUUCCCAGUUUGUCCAAAUGCUAUAUAAUCAAACUUUGAACUUCAACUUUCAUUAUUAUUUGGCCUAAAUCAUGAAUCCCAAAUUGUGAGAUUUUAUUAUUAUAUUUUCCCCAUGAAAUCUUUUUUGAUGACUCUAUGCCCACUGAUUCCUUUCUCUGAAGGUUUACUAUUCCUGUCAUCAAUAGAUAUCUAAUAUUUCAGUGUAUCCUAAUUGUUUCAUAAAUUCUAAGUUUAUAUCCACAACUAGAUUGCAAGCUCCUAGAGUGUAGGGCCCAUGUUUUUAUUUAUUUGUUUGCUUAUUUUAGUUUGGUUUUUUUUUUUUGGAUUUUUAUCCAGAUAUCAGCACCCAGAUAUCAAGAAAUAUUUUAUUGAUGCGUAUCCUCAAGUGAGAAAAAUAAUGUAUCACUUCUAAAAUAGACUAAUAAUGAACAUUUCAUCUAAAUCUUGUUACAUAAAGCUGAACAUAAUGAAAACUAUGAAUUAAGUUUAACUUCUAUGAGCACAAUCUGUUAAAUUGUUCAUUGGCCUAAAAAUAAAAAAAAAACAAGUUUUCUUUACUAUGACUCAGUGAAGUGAUGAGUGACAAAUGAUCCUCCUACACAAUAUUUAAAUAAAGAAGGGACGAAGAAAAUUAUAAUGAAACAAUUUUGUAAUUUUGCUUUGUUAUAGUUCAGUAAUUUAAGUCACUUUAUUCUUUAUGACCCUUUUUGAGCUUUCUUGGCAAAAAUGCCGAAAUAGUUUACCAUUUCCUUUUCCAGCUCAUUUUAUAGAGGGGAACCUGAAGCAAGUGGUUAAGAGAACUUGUCUAUGUCACAUGGCCAAUAAGCAUCUGAGACCAGAUUUGAACUGAUGAACAAAAUGAGUCUUCCUGACUAAGCCCAACACUUUAUAUGCCCUGUGCCACCUAGCUGCCCACUUUCUUAUGUUUAGAACAAGAUAAUUUAGUUAAGGACUGCUAAAAGAGAAAGGUUUUUAAAGAAGAAAACCAUCUAUUGAAGGGAUGUCUUGCAACACACUUCUAAUAAGAACCACUAUUGGUUUUAAAUAAUGUACUUUAAAUUCAUAACAAAUAUCUGAGACUUAGGGAAAAACUAUUACCAUUGUCCUUUUGUGAGUUUUUAAAAAUUCUUUGAAGAAAGGAAUUAUGAAUAAAUAACUUGUAAUCCAUACAAUAUCUAGCUUAGGAUUUUGUAGGUAGUAAGCAAAUAAAAGCAUAAAUGAAAAAAAAAAAAGAUCUCUGCUUCUAAAUGCAUGCAGUACUUUUUUUUGCAUUAGUUGAUAAUUAUUUUAUUUUAAUUUAUUUUUAAAUUUUGGAUGCUUUUUUCAAAUAAAAUUGUCUUUUCAUAUAAAAUUUGUUUAGGCAAAUAAAACCAGAAGCUUAGAAUUUGGAGUUUUUAAGAUCUUUAAAAGUUUUUAGUUGUGAUUAUGUCCGGCAUGCCAACUUACUUUGGAGGAUAUUAUAAUCUAAUCCCUUUUCUCAUUUUUAAAACAUUUUUGAUAAAUAUUGAUUAUAAUCAUGGAUGAAUUUGAUUGGGAUGUUUUCUUAAACCUGUUGUCUAUUACUGACCUUCACAAUUUUUUUCUUUGGAAGUUCUGGCUUUGCAACUACAUUUGUAUAAAUUAAACUCUUUAUUGAUGUUCUGGGGAAAACUACUGAUGUGUAUUUUGUCCUCUAGUUCUAUUAAUAGUCUUUAUAUUUCUGAAAUAUGGUAAUAAAAAUUUUCCUUUCCUCAUGUUUUCUUGGAAACCAAGGUUUUUUAAGCUGCUUCUCUAUCUUUAUUUUUGUGGUAUUUAGCUAUCUGGUAAUUUUGCCUUCUAGGGAAUGCAUGGAUAGUUCAUGGAUAGUUUACGCUAAGAUUCUUUCCUAAAAUAUUAUUUUCUUUUGAAUUUGUCUCUAAGUUUUGAUUUUGCUAAUUAUUCCAUUUUAUUCUUUUAAAUAAGUUUUUCAUUGGUCAUGUUAUUCAUACAUAUGUAUGCAUGUAAGCAUAUAUAUCUAUAUAUAUUUAUUUAUAAAGUUUUUUUAAAAAUUCUUAACAAUUUUUUUUUCUAGAAGGUGCACCUCAAAUUCUUUUCAUUGAUAGUAGUUCUUCAGUUUAUUAUGAGAGUUUUCUGGAGAAGCUUAUUUUUCAUUUUAAUUUCUCUACUGAAUAUCUUUUGAUUAUUUUACUCCCUCCUUUCCUUAUUACUAUUCUUUUCUUACUUGCAUGCACCUUUUUUAAGGUGAUGGAUGGGAGUGGGUUUAUAUACAAGCUAUAUUUACACCCAUUGUCAGAAUUACCACUGGAGCUUACUCCAAAUCACAUGCUAAUCCUUCUAGCUGACAAAUUAUAUUAACUUUUUAUAAACUUCCAAUUUAGGAGUUGAGUAUGUCUGAAUAUAGAACUAUUUUAUUUGAACUAAUUGUGGGAUAUGACAUAUAAAUGUGAAGCAUAUAAUUAACAAAAAAAUUAUAGGAUAUAAUUUCAAUAAUUUUCAUUUAAAUGUUGGUCUAGAAAUCCACAUUGGAAAAAUAAGUUGAUAGACAAUGUAUAUUUUCCAGAUUAUAGUGUAGAUUUGUAUGGGAAGCCAAUUGCAUUAGUGUAUUGAUAUGUAUAAAUUGGAAUGCAAAGUAAAUUGACAAAAACUGGACUGAGAAUAAAAAAAAAAGGAAAAUAUCUAGAUGGGUGAUGCUCGGGGAAUUAUAGAGUACUUUCAGAAAAUUAAAUCUAUUUUGUGUUACAAAAUCAUUUAGCACCAAUUGUUUCCUAAUGGUUGUGAGUAAUAGAACAUCACUAUAAGAAGAAUGACAGUUUCUGGUGCUGCAACAAGCAAUGAAAAGACACAUGAAAAGUCUAAGUAAUUUGUCACAUUAUUACCUAUAACUAUGUGCAAACAUGAUGUAACACAAAGUAUCAAAAUAUGUGUGAUGACAAAAAAUGAAAUAGGUCAAACAUAUAGCAAAAGUGAGACAGUAUAGUGAACCAAAAUCCCUCACACC